AUUGAACGCUGGCGGCAGGCCUAACACAUGCAAGUCGAGCGGUUGAGGUAGCUUGCUACCGAAGCAGCGGCGAACGGGUGAGUAAUACAUGGGAAUCUGCCUGGUAGUGGGGGACAACGUUUCGAAAGGAACGCCAAUACCGCAUACGCCCUACGGGGGAAAGGGGGGGACCUUCGGACCUCUCGCUAUCAGAUGAGCCCAUGCCGGAUUAGCUAGUUGGGGGGGUAAAGGCCCACCAAGGCGACGAUCCGUAGCUGGUCUGAGAGGAUGAUCAGCCACACUGGAACUGAGACACGGUCCAGACUCCUACGGGAGGCAGCAGUGGGGAAUAUUGGACAAUGGGGGCAACCCUGAUCCAGCCAUGCCGCGUGUGUGAAGAAGGCCUUAGGGUUGUAAAGCACUUUCAGUGGGGAGAAAGGUGAUUCACCUAAUACGUGAGUCAAUUGAUGCUACCCACAGAAGAAGCACCGGCUAACUCCGUGCCAGCCGCCGCGGUAAUAC
rnacentral:rRNA from 1 species